rnacentral:rRNA from 2 species
AUGCAAGUCGAACGGUAACAGGCCUUCGGGCGCUGACGAGUGGCGGACGGGUGAGUAACGCGUAGGAAUCUGCCUUAUAGUGGGGGACAACGUGGGGAAACCCACGCUAAUACCGCAUACGCCCUACGGGGGAAAGGAGGGGAUCUUCGGACCUUUCGCUAUGAGAUGAGCCUGCGUUAGAUUAGCUAGUUGGUAGGGUAAAGGCCUACCAAGGCGACGAUCUAUAGCUGGUCUGAGAGGACGAUCAGCCACACUGGGACUGAGACACGGCCCAGACUCC